GAGGGAAUGCGAGGCGGGCCCGGCGCGCACAGGCAGCAGCGGCCGCUGAGGCGCGCGGGGCACGGCGGUGCCGCCGUGUAGAGCUGUCAGGCCGGUCCGCGGGCGCGCCCGGCCCCGCGCCCCGCCGGCCGCCGCCUCCAUCCCCGCCCGCGGCCCGCGCUCCGAGCGCCCAGACCCGAGGCGGCCCGCACGUGCGCCCGCUCGCCGCCCGCCAGCCGACGAUCUGGGAGCAUGCCCGCGGGAGUCCGGCCGCUCGCCCGGGGCCAGCUGGCGGCGGCGGCGGCGCGUGGAGCCGCGGGGCGCAGCCGGCCGGGUUGGGGCCACCGGGCCGGAGUCUCCCGGGCCGCGUGAGGCGGCGGCGGCCCAGCGCGGCCGAAGAGGACGGAGCAGCGCCGUGCAGAGCGGGGGGACACCAGUUCAAUCCCUGGUCCAGGAAGAUUCCACAUGCUGUGGAGCAACUAAGCCCAUGUACCACAGCUCCUGCAGCCCACGCUUUAGAACCCGUGCUCCAUAACAAGAGAAGCCACUGCAAUGAGAAGCCUGAGCACCGCAACGACGAGUAACCCCCGCUCACUGCAACUGGAGAAAGCCCGUGCACAGCAAUGAAGACCCUGCACAACCAUAAAUAAAUGAAUAAGAUUAAAUAAACCAGCUCAAGGACACUGAAUGAACCAGUUUGUUGGGGACUGAGGCAUCCUUCAUGUUUCCCUGGUGAUGAUCCUGCUCUUUCUCCAAGGCAUUUCUUGUCUCUCUCUGAAUAAACAGC
ensembl:lncRNA